AAACGGGGCUUAAUUUGUUCAACUUUGAUGUUAUUAGGGAUGCUAAAGAUAGGAAUAGGUAUCUUGUCAUUGAUAUAAACUAUUUUCCUGGUUAUGCCAAGAUGCCAAAUUAUGAGUCUGUUUUGACAGAUUUUUUCUUGGAUCUUGUCCACGACAAAAAGAGUAGAGAUAUGCUUGCUGGAAACAUAGACGAUGGGGAGCAGUAACGCAAUAUUGGUGGGCUGAAGGGAAACAAUGAUUGAAUUUGCUCUAUGAAUGAUGCUUUUGAAGUGCGGAUGUCUUCGCGGUUGAAGGACUCAUCAUCUUCUGGCUUUGGAAGCCUGUUUGGCGUUUCGUUCUUAUUUUGUAUAUCCCGCCUAUCUGCCAAAUAGGUACUUUUUAAAUACUUGAAGUUUCUGUAAGGACAAAGCUUGAAGAAAAAUCUGUUGCCAUUGUAGCAAACCUUGUGGUUGUGUGAAGAAAUGUUGGGACCUUUGAUGCUAAUUACCGUUUCUUCCAAAA
rnacentral:misc_RNA from 1 species